GACGAACGCUGGCGGCGUGCCUAAUACAUGCAAGUAGAACGCUGAAGAGAGGCGCUUGCUCUUCUUGGAUGAGUUGCGAACGGGUGAGUAACGCGUAGGUAACCUGCCUUGUAGCGGGGGAUAACUAUUGGAAACGAUAGCUAAUACCGCAUAACAAUGGAUGACACAUGUCAUUUAUUUGAAAGGGGCAAUUGCUCCACUACAAGAUGGACCUGCGUUGUAUUAGCUAGUAGGUGAGGUAAUGGCUCACCUAGGCGACGAUACAUAGCCGACCUGAGAGGGUGAUCGGCCACACUGGGACUGAGACACGGCCCAGACUCCUACGGGAGGCAGCAGUAGGGAAUCUUCGGCAAUGGGGGCAACCCUGACCGAGCAACGCCGCGUGAGUGAAGAAGGUUUUCGGAUCGUAAAGCUCUGUUGUAAGUCAAGAACGGGUGUGAGAGUGGAAAGUUCACACUGUGACGGUAGCUUACCAGAAAGGGACGGCUAACUACGUG
rnacentral:rRNA from 1 species